CGUUGAUUCCACCGCCGAUGAGGAGUCCGGUCCAGCAGCAGCAGCAACAGUAACAACCCAGCCAGCCAGCCCUUCCGAACUACGGCUCAUUCCCACCCCACCACCAGCCCCAACAUCCACGCCAUCAGCUGCACCAGAACCACAUUCGCCCGGUGAUGGGCGGCGGCGGUCCCAUCAGCCCAAGUUCGUCUACCGACUUGAUGGCAUCGAUUACGGCCUGUGCCGCUUCGCAAAUGCAAAUGCCCCCUCAGCAGCAACAGCAGCAGCAGGUUGUAGCGGCGGUGCACCAACUAUAGUGCAAAUUUGGAGCUGGUGGCAAGAGAAAGUGCUUAGACAACCCGGUUCAGUUUGAGUCCCGGCCGAUUUGAGUCCGGCACGAAUCAGGUGCGCGUCGGCUGGACCCUCGGGGAAGAAAUCGCUCAAUUCCAGCGAAGCUGCUCAAGAAAGCGGAAAAAACAUCAUCAGCAGUACAACUACAGUAACUAUAAGUGCUCCGUCUAACCGGAUGUCCCCACCCGCAAGCACAAAAAGUCUCGCCGAUCCUCGUCGUCGGAUCACAAUCACAAGCAAGUCGUCCCGCUGGUCCCGUCCCCCCUCUACUCCAGCAGAAUCCGGAACAAGCACGAAGCGUCUCUUUCACCGGUGUGAACCAGCAACAAGUCCACCCGUCACCAUCUCCCGUCAGCAGCGUUUCUUGAUUCCAAACGCGAUCGUCCCUCUCGCUGGUCAGCCGCAGCAAGUACGCGGUGAGGUGGCGUCCUCACGCUGGCUGCGGCGGUCUCAGAUGCUUUAGAAGGAGUUGACCAGAACCAACAGUGUACAAUCCAAACCGGCGAGGACUCCCGAGACGGACAGUUACGGGACGGUUGCACCCGCUGCAGCAAGAGCAGCUACCAAAAACCUAAAAUUAUGGAGAGAGGAGACAAACUUGAAAGCGACGAAUACGACGAAGAAGCAUUACGGAACUUGCUCGUCCCGUUCGCGCUUCAGACUUGGCUCCGAAAGCCGCAGCUGAUCUGGAAGUCGUGCAGCUUGCGCAACCUUCCCGGAACCGUGUACGGAAGUGACAACUCCUGCAUAGAUGGAGGCCCUGGCACAAGAGGUGGCCUUAAGUCUGGAGAGCGCGCUCAACCAAUAUCGACCAGUAGCGUCUCUCCUCUUCAUGAAUGGUGCUGAAGUGCUGUCGCAAUCUCUUGCGCACCCACAACCCUCACAUUCCCCUCCUUCCCCUGGUCGACUCCUGGACGUUCUGCUCAACUCCAGUUCCAGAGAAUGAUGCUUCCAAACGCGACCCGGAUCGAACGUCCCCGGCAGUUAAAGGACACCUAACCACAAUGGAACGAAGCCAAGAAAUAGUCCGCACUCGCACUGUGGAGAUCGACAGUGGCAGUGAGACCAUUCGCAACCAUUACGUGAAGAGCGUGACCGAACCAAACCGAAAGUUGGUUGUCCUGCAGGCCGUUAGUCGUGCCUGCUAGCGCAGCAGCCACUCCGUUAGACGUUUUCUGUCAUGCUCCAGUUCACGCUAGCAUUCCGGGUCGAGUGCCCCCCAACCCCGAUCUACUCGGACAAUCCGCAGGCCCCGAACCGGGAAAAAUGUCCGACUGAGCGAUUUGAAGUUAAAGGGCAGUCGGGUGCGUAGCCUCAUAGCAUAGCUAUCCCAAGCGCCGAAAGAAAACAAGGUCCUUGCACGAAAUCCGCCUGCGGUCCGUGACCAAAGUCACAAAAAUGUACAACCUUGACUAUUCUGCCGAUGUCUACGGACUGAAGAAAAAUCGCGCGUUCCACAAGUUUCACGAACCGCGGCGGGAACCUGGACGAGCUGCUGGACAUGAAGUGAAGACUGACAUUCGCGACGUUCCGAAGGUGGUCGGUUUCACCGUGGGUAUCUACAACGACAACUAUACCAUAAAACAGUCCGCUGCCGAAGAGCAUGUA